rnacentral:sRNA from 1 species
UCAACAGGAAACAGCAGGCGUCCUGAAGGGACUUGUUGAGCUUACCAGCCAGCUCAGCCCUGGUCCUGAGCAUGCUCCUGCCUUUUUUCACCAGGCAGGGAUUUGGGCUGUAAGGACACUGGCAUACAAUCUUAAGAACAACAACAAAAACAAAACAAAACAAAACAAAAAAGGCCCCCAUACCAUGCUGAGCAGGCACUCUGUAGUAAGGUAAUAGACUGAGCAGGCACUCUGUAGUAAGGUAAUAGACAGAGCAGGCACUCUGUAGUAAGCUAACAGGCUGAGCAGGCACUCUGUAGUAAGCUAACACGGUGAGCAGGCACUCUGUAGUAAGCUAACAGGCUGAGCAGGCACUCUGUAGUAAGGUAACAGGCUGAGCAGGCGCUCUGUAGUAAGGUAAUAGACUGAGCAGGCACUCUGUAGUAAGGUAACAGGCUGAGCAGGCACUCUGUAGUAAGGUAACAGGCUGAGCAGGCACUCUGUAGUGAGCUAACACGGUGAGCAGGCACUCUGUAGUAAGGUAAUAGACAGAGCAGGCACUCUGUAGUGAGCUAACACGGUGAGCAGGCACUCUGUAGUAAGGUAACAGGCUGAGCAGGCACUCUGUAGUAAGCUAACACGGUGAGCAAGCACUCUGUAGUAAGCUAACAGGCUGAGCAGGCGCUCUGUAGUAAGCUAACAUGGUGAGCAGGCGCUCUGUAGUAAGCUAACACGGUGAGCAGGCACUCUGUAGUAAGCUAACAGGCUGAGCAGGCACUCUGUAGUAAGCUAACAGGCUGAGCAGGCACUCUGUAGUGAGCUAACACGGUGAGCAGGCACUCUGUAGUAAGCUAACAGGCUGAGCAGGCACUCUGUAGUAAGCUAA